UGGGGAAUAUUGCACAAUGGGCGCAAGCCUGAUGCAGCCAUGCCGCGUGUGUGAAGAAGGCCUUCGGGUUGUAAAGCACUUUCAGCGGGGAGGAAGGCGAUAAGGUUAAUAACCUUGUCGAUUGACGUUACCCGCAGAAGAAGCACCGGCUAACUCCGUGCCAGCAGCCGCGGUAAUACGGAGGGUGCAAGCGUUAAUCGGAAUUACUGGGCGUAAAGCGCACGCAGGCGGUCUGUCAAGUCGGAUGUGAAAUCCCCGGGCUCAACCUGGGAACUGCAUCUGAUAAUGGCAAGCUUGAGUCUCGUAGAGGGGGGUAGAAUUCCAGGUGUAGCGAUGAAAUGCGUAGAGAUCUGGAGGAAUACCGGUGGCGAAGGCGGCCCCCUGGACGAAGACUGACGCUCAGGUGCGAAAGCGUGGGGAGCAAACAGG
rnacentral:rRNA from 1 species